UUUACUACCUUAAACCAAUGAAAAGAAAAUUUAAACUAUAUAUUUUAUUUUAAAAAUUAAACAAAAACUAAAUAUUUAAUUAUUUACUCGAUAACAUAAAUCUACGAAGCGAAAUUUAAUUUUUUUUUAAAAUUCUAAAUUUAUGAAAUGUUACAAUAUUUUUGAAUAUGACAAUAUAACAAUAUUUUACUAAUCUUUAUAUAAUAGCUACGAUUUUAAUAAUGAAAUAAUAAUCCGAAAAGUAUAUAUUGAAGAAGAUACAAAUACAUGUGAAAGUUUGAAACAAUCUAUUCAAUGAAAAAAAUAUACCCUAAACUUAUUAUGGCUGCAACUGGAAUAA
rnacentral:lncRNA from 1 species